CCUGGCGGCCGUAGCGCGGUGGUCCCACCUGACCCCAUGCCGAACUCAGAAGUGAAACGCCGUAGCGCCGAUGGUAGUGUGGGGUCUCCCCAUGCGAGAGUAGGGAACUGCCAGG
rnacentral:rRNA from 2 species